rnacentral:rRNA from 1 species
GGUUAAGCGAAUAAGCGUACACGGUGGAUGCCUAGGCAAUCAGAGGCGAUGAAGGACGUGCUAAUCUGCGAAAAGCGUCGGUAAGGUGAUAUGAACCGUUAUACCCGACGAUAUCCGAAUGGGGAAACCCAGUAUCCAAUGGAUACUAUCAUUAACUGAAUCCAUAGGUUAAUGAGGCGAACCGGGAGAACUGAAACAUCUCAGUACCCCGAGGAAAAGAAAUCAACCGAGAUUCCCCUAGUAGCGGCGAGCGAACGGGGAGCAGCCCAGAGUCUUAAUCAAUAACAGUGUCAGGAGAACGGUCUGGAAAGUCCGGCAGUAAAGGGUGAUAGCCCCGUAUCUGAAGAUGCUGUUAUUGUGAACUCGAUGAGUAGGGCGGGACACGUGUUAUCCUGUCUGAAUAUGGGGGGACCAUCCUCCAAGGCUAAAUACUCCUGAUUGACCGAUAGUGAACCAGUACCGUGAGGGAAAGGCGAAAAGAACCCCGGCGAGGGGAGUGAAAAAGAACCUGAAACCGUGUACGUACAAGCAGUAGGAGCCUCUUUAUGGGGUGACUGCGUACCUUUUGUAUAAUGGGUCAGCGACUUAUAUUCUGUAGCAAGGUUAACCGCAUAGGGGAGCCGUAGGGAAACCGAGUCUUAACUGGGCGAAUGAGUUGCAGGGUAUAGACCCGAAACCCGGUGAUCUAUCCAUGGGCAGGUUGAAGGUUGGGUAACACUAACUGGAGGACCGAACCGACUAAUGUUGAAAAAUUAGCGGAUGACUUGUGGAUGGGGGUGAAAGGCCAAUCAAACCGGGAGAUAGCUGGUUCUCCCCGAAAGCUAUUUAGGUAGCGCCUCGUGAACUCAUCUUCGGGGGUAGAGCACUGUUUCGACUAGGGGGUCAUCCCGACUUACCAACUCGAUGCAAACUGCGAAUACCGAAGAAUGUUAUCACGGGAGACACACGGCGGGUGCUAACGUCCGUCGUGAAGAGGGAAACAACCCAGACCGCCAGCUAAGGUCCCAAAGUCAUGGUUAAGUGGGAAACGAAGUGGGAAGGCUCAGACAGCCAGGAUGUUGGCUUAGAAGCAGCCAUCAUUUAAAGAAAGCGUAAUAGCUCACUGGUCGAGUCGGCCCGCGCGGAAGAUGUAACGGGGCUAAACCAUGCACCGAAGCUGCGGCAGCGACACAAAGUGUUGUUGGGUAGGGGAGCGUUCUGUAAGCCUGCGAAGGUGUACUGUGAGGUAUGCUGGAGGUAUCAGAAGUGCGAAUGCUGACAUAAGUAACGAUAAUGCGGGUGAAAAACCCGCACGCCGGAAGACCAAGGGUUCCUGUCCAACGUUAAUCGGGGCAGGGUGAGUCGACCCCUAAGGCGAGGCUGAAAAGCGUAGUCGAUGGGAAACGGGUUAAUAUUCCCGUACUGGUGGUAACUGCGAUGGGGGAACGGAGAAGGCUAGGUUGUCCGGGCGACGGUCGUCCCGGUUCAAGCAGGUAGGCAGAGUGAUUAGGCAAAUCCGGUCACUUAAUGCUGAGAUGUGAUGACGAACCACCAAGGUGGUGAAGCAAUUGAUGCCCCGCUUCCAGGAAAAGCCUCUAAGCUUCAGGUUACCAACAAUCGUACCCCAAACCGACACAGGUGGUCAGGUAGAGAAUACUCAGGCGCUUGAGAGAACUCGGGUGAAGGAACUAGGCAAAAUGGUGCCGUAACUUCGGGAGAAGGCACGCUGGCGGUAGGUAAAGUCCCUUGCGGACGGCGCUGAAGCCAGUCGAAGAUACCAGCUGGCUGCAACUGUUUAUUAAAAACACAGCACUGUGCAAACACGAAAGUGGACGUAUACGGUGUGACGCCUGCCCGGUGCUGGAAGGUUAAUUGAUGGGGUUAGCGUAAGCGAAGCUCCUGAUCGAAGCCCCAGUAAACGGCGGCCGUAACUAUAACGGUCCUAAGGUAGCGAAAUUCCUUGUCGGGUAAGUUCCGACCUGCACGAAUGGCGUAAUGAUGGCCAGGCUGUCUCCACCCGAGACUCAGUGAAAUUGAACUCGCUGUGAAGAUGCAGUGUACCCGCGGCAAGACGGAAAGACCCCGUGAACCUUUACUAUAGCUUGACACUGAACAUUGAGCCUUGAUGUGUAGGAUAGGUGGGAGGCUUUGAAGUGUGGACGCCAGUCUGCAUGGAGCCAACCUUGAAAUACCACCCUUUAACGUUUGAUGUUCUAACCUAGGCCCAUAAACUGGGUCGGGGACCGUGUCUGGUGGGUAGUUUGACUGGGGCGGUCUCCUCCUAAAGAGUAACGGAGGAGCACGAAGGUUGGCUAAGCAUGGUCGGACAUCAUGCGGUUAGUGCAAAGGCAUAAGCCAGCUUGACUGCGAGAGUGACGGCUCGAGCAGGUACGAAAGUAGGUCUUAGUGAUCCGGUGGUUCUGAAUGGAAGGGCCAUCGCUCAACGGAUAAAAGGUACUCCGGGGAUAACAGGCUGAUACCGCCCAAGAGUUCAUAUCGACGGCGGUGUUUGGCACCUCGAUGUCGGCUCAUCACAUCCUGGGGCUGAAGUAGGUCCCAAGGGUAUGGCUGUUCGCCAUUUAAAGUGGUACGCGAGCUGGGUUUAGAACGUCGUGAGACAGUUCGGUCCCUAUCUGCCGUGGGCGUUGGAAGAUUGAGAGGGGUUGCUCCUAGUACGAGAGGACCGGAGUGAACGCACCACUGGUGUUCGGGUUGUCAUGCCAAUGGCAUUGCCCGGUAGCUAAGUGCGGAAGAGAUAACCGCUGAAAGCAUCUAAGCGGGAAACUUGCCUCGAGAUGAGUCUUCCCUGUCGCUUUAAGCGACCUAAAGGAACGUUUAAGACUAAGACGUUGAUAGGCUGGGUGUGUAAGCGUAGCGAUACGUUGAGCUAACCAGUACUAAUGAACCGUGAGGCUUAACCUG